GCAUGAGCUGGAAAUGUAGGAACCUCAG
rnacentral:piRNA from 1 species